rnacentral:rRNA from 1 species
UGAACCUGCGGAGGGAUCAUUACAAGUGACCCCGGUCUAACCACCGGGAUGUUCAUAACCCUUUGUUGUCCGACUCUGUUGCCUCCGGGGCGACCCUGCCUUCGGGCGGGGGCUCCGGGUGGACACUUCAAACUCUUGCGUAACUUUGCAGUCUGAGUAAACUUAAUUAAUAAAUUAAAACUUUUAACAACGGAUCUCUUGGUUCUGGCAUCGAUGAAGAACGCAGCGAAAUGCGAUAAGUAAUGUGAAUUGCAGAAUUCAGUGAAUCAUCGAAUCUUUGAACGCACAUUGCGCCCCCUGGUAUUCCGGGGGGCAUGCCUGUUCGAGCGUCAUUUCACCACUCAAGCCUCGCUUGGUAUUGGGCAUCGCGGUCCGCCGCGUGCCUCAAAUCGACCGGCUGGGUCUUCUGUCCCCUAAGCGUUGUGGAAACUAUUCGCUAAAGGGUGUUCGGGAGGCUACGCCGUAAAACAACCCCAUUUCUAAGGUUGACCUCGGAUCAGG